CGGCCGGCCGGCAAUUGAUCGCAGCCCCCAGCCCCCAGCCCCCAGUCGCUCUGGAGGCGGCGCCGCGGCAGCACCCGUGUUCUCGCCGAGCGCCUCUCCUGUCCAGUUGCACCGACGCGGACCAGUUGACACCAGUGAUAGCAACCGUAUUUCAGGAUGCGCGGUUGCGAGUGAGCGAUGCGCGGCUGCGCAGGCGGCGGCCAUGGCGGCGGCAGCAGCGG